rnacentral:rRNA from 1 species
UAACGCGUGAGGAACCUGCCUUCCAGAGGGGGACAACAGUUGGAAACGACUGCUAAUACCGCAUGACACAUGACCGUGGCAUCACGGACAUGUCAAAGAUUUAUCGCUGGGAGAUGGCCUCGCGUCUGAUUAGCUAGUAGGCGGGGUAACGGCCCACCUAGGCGACGAUCAGUAGCCGGACUGAGAGGUUGACCGGCCACAUUGGGACUGAGAUACGGCCCAGACUCCUACGGAAGGCAGCAG